GCUAGUACGGCGAGUGAGCAGCAAUAGCUCAAAUUUGAAAUCUGGCGUCUUCGACGUCCGAGUUGUAAUUUGUAGAGGAUGCUUCUGAGUAACCACCGACCUAAGUUCCUUGGAACAGGACGUCAUAGAGGGUGAGAAUCCCGUAUGCGGUCGGAAAGGUGCUCUACACGUAGCUCCUUCGACGAGUCGAGUUGUUUGGGAAUGCAGCUCUAAAUGGGAGGUAAAUUUCUUCUAAAGCUAAAUAUUGGCCAGAGACCGAUAGCGCACAAGUAGAGUGAUCGAAAGAUGAAAAGCACUUUGGAAAGAGAGUUAAAAAGCACGUGAAAUUGUUAAAAGGGAAGGGAUUGCAACCAGACUUGCUCGCGGUGUUCCGCCGGUCUUCUGACCGGUCUACUCGCCGCGUUGCAGGCCAGCAUCGUCUGGUGCCGCUGGAUAAGACUUGAGGAAUGUAGCUCCCUCGGGAGUGUUAUAGCCUCUUGUGAUGCAGCGAGCGCCGGGCGAGGUCCGCGCUUCGGCUAGGAUGCUGGCGUAAUGGUCGUAAUCCGCCCGUCUUGAAACCACGGACCC
rnacentral:rRNA from 1 species